CCGGUACCUUGCACUUAGUUGGAUGAGCCUAUGUCGGUAUUAGUUAGUUGGGUAGGGGUAAACGGCCUAACCGAAGGCAGCGACUCCGUAGCGUGGUUCUUAGGAGGAUGAUCACGCCACACCGGGGACUGAGACACGGCCCGAACUCCUACGGGAGGCAGCAGUGGGGAAUAUUGCACAAUGGGCGCAAGCCUGAUGCAGCUAUGCCGCGUGUGUGAAGAAGGCCUUAGGGUUGUAAAGCACUUUCAGUAGUGAGGAAAAGUGUUGCGUUAAUAGCGCAAUGCUGUGACGUUAGCUACAGAAGAAGGACCGGCAAACUCCGUG
rnacentral:rRNA from 1 species